rnacentral:rRNA from 1 species
GACGAACGCUGGCGGCGUGCUUAACACAUGCAAGUCGAACGGAAAGGCCCUGCUUUUGUGGGGUGCUCGAGUGGCGAACGGGUGAGUAACACGUGAGUAACCUGCCCUUGACUUUGGGAUAACUUCAGGAAACUGGGGCUAAUACCGGAUAGGAGCUCCUGCUGCAUGGUGGGGGUUGGAAAGUUUCGGCGGUUGGGGAUGGACUCGCGGCUUAUCAGCUUGUUGGUGGGGUAGUGGCUUACCAAGGCUUUGACGGGUAGCCGGCCUGGGAGGGGGACCGGGCACAUAGGGACUGAGAUACGGCGCAGACGCGUACGGGAGGCAGCAGGGGGGAAUAUUGCACAAUGGGCGGAAGCCUGAGGCAGAAACGCCGCGUGCGGGAUGACGGCCUUCGGGUUGUAAACCGCUUUCGCCUGUGACGAAGCGUGAGUGACGGUAAUGGGUAAAGAAGCACCGGCUAACUACGUG